GCAAACAAAUGUUAAUAAAUAGGAACAUUUUGUUCCGAACAUAUCAAAAAAUAUUACAUAAUAGUUCCAAAGAGCAUAGUUUUUGGCUAAUUCUAGCCAUUUCCAAUUGGCAACACUGCCUCCCAAACGGUAGGCCCUUCUCGGUGUGGUAUUCCCAACUUGUUAUUGAUGUUGGCAGCGGGGGGGGGCUCGAUGUCUUCCCGCUCCCGAAUCUUUCCCACAGGUGCACCGCCGCCCCACCCGAUAAACUUGCCCUCCGGCUGAGAGCUGACAAUUGAUGCCAAGGAUAUGCCGUCCAAAUCACGCGCUAAACAUUAUUUUAAUGUCCCCAGGCAGUCACAUAUGUACAUAUAUGCGAGUCGGCAGCUUUUCCCUCUGUAUUUCACAUGCGUGGAUUUUCCGGGAAUGUUUAAAGCCCUGCCAACUUAUUUCCCGGAAUUUGCGUGUGCGUUAAGAGGACUCUUGGGAACAACCAUGAUGCCCGAAUCGAAGGAGGUCGCGUCCUUGAAGGAUUUGCCAUUUUAGUUUCUGGG
ensembl:ncRNA lncRNA:CR44580 long non-coding RNA:CR44580